ensembl:miRNA
UGCCUGUCUUCACUUGCUGUGCAGUAAUUGGUUCAGCCUGUACAGCAGGCACAGACAGGCAGA